UUGGCUCAGGGACGAACGCUGGCGGCGUGCCUAAUACAUGCAAGUCGAGCGAAUGGAUUAAGAGCUUGCUCUUAUGAAGUUAGCGGCGGACGGGUGAGUAACACGUGGGUAACCUGCCCAUAAGACUGGGAUAACUCCGGGAAACCGGGGCUAAUACCGGAUAACAUUUUGAACCGCAUGGUUCGAAAUUGAAAGGCGGCUUCGGCUGUCACUUAUGGAUGGACCCGCGUCGCAUUAGCUAGUUGGUGAGGUAACGGCUCACCAAGGCAACGAUGCGUAGCCGACCUGAGAGGGUGAUCGGCCACACUGGA
rnacentral:rRNA from 1 species